rnacentral:rRNA from 1 species
CCUACGGGAGGCAGCAGUGAGGAAUAUUGGUCAAUGGCCGAGAGGCUGAACCAGCCAAGUCGCGUGAGGGAAGAAUGUCCUAUGGAUUGUAAACCUCUUUUGUCAGGGAGCAAAGUCACCCACGUGUGGGUGUUGGAGAGUACCUGAAGAAAAAGCAUCGGCUAACUCCGUGCAAGCAGCCGUGGUAAUACGGAGGAUGCGAGCGUUAUCCGGAUUUAUUGGGGUUAAAGGGUGCGUAGGCGGGUUAUGAAGUCAGCGGUAACAGCGUGGAGCUCAACUCCAUCCAGCCGUUGAAACUGAUGAUCUUGAGUGGGCGAGAAGUAUGCGGAAUGCGUGGUGUAGCGGUGAAAUGCAUAGAUAUCGCGCAGAACUCCGAUUGCGAAGGCAGCAUACCGGCGCCCGACUGACGCUGAAGCACGAAAGCGUGGGGAGCGAACAGGAUUAGAUACCCUAGUAGUC